rnacentral:tRNA from 1 species
GCCCCAUUAGCUCAUCUGGUAGAGCAACUGAUUUGUAAUCAGUAGGUGGUCUGUUCGAGUCGGACAUGGGGCA